rnacentral:misc_RNA from 1 species
GAUGAAGAACGCAGCAAAAUGCGAUAAGUAAUGUGAAUUGCAGAAUUCAGUGAAUCAUCGAAUCUUUGAACGCACAUUGCGCCCGCCAGUAUUCUGGCGGGCAUGCCUGUUCGAGCGUCAUUUCAACCCUCAAGCACAGCUUGGUGUUGGGACUCGCGUUAAUUCGCGUUCUCCAAAUUGAUUGGCGGUCACGUCGAGCUUCCAUAGCGUAGUAGUAAAACCCUCGUUACUGGUAAUCGUCGCGGCCACGCCGUUAAACCCCAACUUCUGAAUGUUGACCUCGGAUCAGGUAGGAAUACCCGCUGAACUUAAGCAUAUCAAUAAGCGGAGGA